rnacentral:rRNA from 1 species
AUUGAACGCUGGCGGCAGGCCUAACACAUGCAAGUCGAGCGGAGCGGCGGACGGGUGAGUAAUGUCUGGGAAUCUGCCUAUUAGUGGGGGCAAACAUCUCGAAAGGAAUGCUAUUACCGCUUACAAAUGGAUGGCGCUAGGUCGGAUUAGCUGGUUGGGGGGGUAAAGGCCUACCAAGGGGACGAUCUGUAGCGGGUCUGAGAGGGUGAUCAGCCAAACUGGGACUGAGACACGGCCCAGACUCCUACGGGAGGCAGCAGUGGGGAAUAUUGGACAAUGGGGGGAACCCUGAUCCAGCCAUGCCGCGUGUGUGAAGAAGGCCUUAUGGUUGUAAAGCACUGUAAGCGAGGAGGCGUUACUCGCAGAAUAAGCACCGGCUAACUCUGUGCCAGCAGCCGCGGUAAUAC